CGCGUAGGCGGCCUGCUAAGUCGGACGUGAAAUCCCUCGGCUCAACCGAGGAACUGCGUCCGAUACUGGUGGGCUUGAAUCCGGGAGAGGGAUGUGGAAUUCCAGGUGUAGCGGUGAAAUGCGUAGAUAUCUGGAGGAACACCGGUGGCGAAGGCGGCAUCCUGGACCGGUAUUGACGCUGAGGCGCGAAAGCUAGGGUAGCAAACGGGAUUAGAUACCCCGGUAGUCCUAGCCCUAAACGAUGAAUGCUUGGUGUGGCGGGUAUCGAUCCCUGCCGUGCCGAAGCUAACGCAUUAAGCAUUCCGCCUGGGGAGUACGGUCGCAAGGCUGAA
rnacentral:rRNA from 1 species